rnacentral:rRNA from 1 species
UACGAAGGGGGCUAGCGUUGCUCGGAAUCACUGGGCGUAAAGCGCACGUAGGCGAAUUGCUAAGUCAGGGGUGAAAUCCUGGAGCUCAACUCCAGAACUGCCUUUGAUACUGGCGAUCUUGAGUCCGGGAGAGGUGAGUGGAACUGCGAGUGUAGAGGUGAAAUUCGUAGAUAUUCGCAAGAACACCAGUGGCGAAGGCGGCUCACUGGCCCGGUACUGACGCUGAGGUGCGAAAGCGUGGGGAGCAAACAGG